UAAGCCAACAGAAAUAGCAAAGCAAAUGACUCAAGCUUCAACUAUCAGCUACUUAAAAGUGAAGAUCUUUUGAAAGAGUAAUUAUAUUCUUUUAUCAUCAAGAAAGGUAUGGAGGUUACAUUAACUGUUAUAGUUGCUGAGCUGAGUUUUUAUGUCAGAUGCUUUCAAUCUUCUGAAGAUCUCAUCAAGAACCAGUCAUUCUAAUCAUUGUUUUCACACACUAUGGAUAUCAUUAAAAUAAAAGUGGUGAAGACUGAUUUAAAAUAAAAGUUUCCAAGUUUUGUUAUAUAAUUUUUAGCAUUUUAAGUUGGCUGCUGCUUCCUGGAACUAAACUACUUGGACUAGGAAGACCUACUUUGCUGACAUUGUCACAACUAACUGAGCGACUAAGGCCAGUUUUACCCAAGGUUAGAGGUGGAGGUGGUUUUAAAGUUGUGAGCACCUUGCCAUUAUUAUUACCAGAAGGAAGACUGGAUGAUAUUUUGGGCUCUUGCUUAAUGGAAAUGUUUUUUGUGCUUGAAAUUUUGGGUGGCUCCACAUCCUAAAAGAUG
rnacentral:sRNA from 1 species